rnacentral:siRNA from 1 species
UCUGAGUGAGCUCCUUGGCGC